rnacentral:rRNA from 1 species
GACGAACGCUGGCGGCGCGCUUAACACAUGCAAGUCGAGCGAGAACCGGUCCUUCGGGACCGGGGAAAGCGGCGAACGGGUGAGUAACACGUGAGUAAUCCACCCUCGGCACCGGGAUAGCCCGGGGAAACCCGGAUUAAUACCGGAUGGCCCAGCAGCUCUUCGGGGCGGCUGGAAAAGGUAGCUUCGGCCUCCGGCCGAGGACGAGCUCGCGGCGGAUUAGCUUGUUGGUGGGGUAACGGCCCACCAAGGCGACGAUCCGUAGCUGGUCUGAGAGGACGAUCAGCCACACUGGGACUGAGACACGGCCCAGACUCCUACGGGAGGCAGCAGUGGGGAAUCUUGCGCAAUGGGCGACAGCCUGACGCAGCGACGCCGCGUGAGGGAAGAAGGCUUUCGGGUUGUAAACCUCUUUCAGGAGGGACGAAGCUACUCGGGUUAAUAGCCCAGAGGGUGACGGUACCUCCAGAAGAAGCCCCGGCUAACUACGUGC